AGUACUCUCCCCCUUGUCCUAUGGAUGUGGCUUCCUGAGAACCAAGCUGCAGUGAUUGUUAUCUCUCUUCUGGGUCUAGCCACCCAGCAAGCCUCCCAGACUUUGGGUUGGUACUAGGAGUUGUCUGCACAGAGUCCUGUGAUGUGAACCAUCUAUGGGUCUCUCAGCCAUGGAUACCAGCAUCUGUUCUGGUGGAAGUGGCAGGGGGGUGAAAUGGACUCUGUGAGGGUUCUUAGCUUUGGUGGUUUAAUGCUCUAUUUUUGUGCUGAUUGGCUUCCUGCCAGGAGGUGGCGCUUUCCAGAGAGCACCCGCUGUGGUAGUAUGGGGAGGAACUGGCGGUGGGCAGGGCCCUAGAACUCCCAAGAAUAUAUGCCCUUUGUCUUCAGUUGCCAGCGUGGGUAGGGAAGGACCAGGGCUAGGUGUGUCUGAACUCAGACUCUCCUUGGUUGGGCAGGUCUUGCUGUGGCUGCUGUCGGGAAUGCGGGUAAGGUUCCUGCGUCAAUAGAGUUGUGUACCUAGGAGGAUUAUGGCUGCCUUUGCUGAGUCAUGCGGGUUGUCAGGGAAGUGGGGGAAAGCCAGCACUCACAGGCCUCACCCAGCUCCCAUGCAAUCCAAAGGGCUGGUCUCACUCCCACGGUGCCUCCCCUAACAGCACCAAAUCUGUUUCCAGGCAGUGGGCAAGCGGGGCUGAGAAUUGCCCCAGACUACCCACCUCCCAGCUGCAAAGGAAAAGGGCUCAGUUCUUCCCCCACCUGUGGAGUCUGCAUGCUGGAUUAGCGUUCUCCCCAGAGUUCUGGCCAGGAGCCUUCUCGCCUGGUUCAAAUUGUUAGAAGGUUCAGCUGGAGACUUCCUUCUCCCUGUGGCAUUUUCCCCACACCUCUCGCUGCCCUCCUGAAGGAUCCCUGUGGUGCCAGUUGUUCUGGAGCUAAAAUUCAUGAUGUGAGCCUGCGUAUGCUGCUCUGUCUGUCCAAGUCAGAGCUGCAGUCUGGUUCUGCCUCCUGUCUGCUGUGAUGAUCCCUGUUGUAGUUUCUGUGUGUCUUCUUUUGAGAAAUGCCUUGUGCCCUCCCGCUCUUCCAGGAUAACUCAGGGCCUCCGUCUCCUCAUUUGAAAACUCCGUUCCUCCCUUUCACCUCCACCUUAUUAUUCAUGUGGUGAAGAAACUGGGCCACUUGUCCUGUAGAAUCACCCACAUUGUGGAUUUGGCCGUUGCUUCCACAUGAUGAUAAGAGAAUGUUACAUUAGCAGAGACGUCCAUUAAACAGGAGAGCUGAGGCCAUCUGACACUAAGAAUCACAGUAACAGGGACAAAGCCAAAAGGGAAGGAAAACGGGGGCCAAAAUGGUGAGGUGAGCCAAAAAGCAUGAGAAGAAGCAUGCUCGGCCUCACCGGCUCCUGACUUCUCUCUUCUGGCUUUCUGCAUCUCCCCUCCUUGCCCUGGCAUCUCGGCCUUCAGGCAGGACGGUGGGGCGAAGGCAGUGAGGAAGGAAGGUGCCGGGGCAUCUCCCCCUCUGCCUGCACUGCUGGGCUAACACUUACAAAGGAAGAUUUGAAAAAUUCUCUGAAACUACACGAUCAAAGAAAGGACAAAUGCACUUCCAAUCAAAUCAGUGUUGAAGGGGCAGCAUCUUUAUCAUCUGCCAUCCUUAGGAUUCAUUUCACAUUCAAAUAAAUAGAAAACUACUUGCAAAGGCAAAUUAGACCCAGAUUUACCCGCAGGUGGCAUUUCAUGCCAUAACUUGAUGGUGCUUCAUCAACAUCGGCUUUUCUGGGCUCACUGAUUAGUUCAUGCUAUAUGAAAAGUGUUUUACCGUAAUUUUUCAUUUUCUUCACAAGUUAUGCCAUUUGGAAUCAUGUAAGGUGGCUAAUGUUUCAGGGAUUCUUUUAAACACUUUACAAUCAGAGAUUCAAAGGCCAACUACUGGUGACUCAGGGACCAUUAAGACAUCUGAGACAUGACCAUGAUUAAAGAUUAGUUGCGAUAGUUAUUUGGAUAUUAUAGAGUCUUUGAAAUAUAGAAACACACAAACUAAUGAUGAUGAGCCUCCGGGGCUUGGUGUUUCUCUGAUUCAGCUGCAGUAGAGGCGGGCGGCUCUCAAUUCAGGCUCACUCCAUGUCAGUUUCACAAGAAAAUGCCAGUGCUGCCCCCAGCUCCCCUAGCUGCUAGCGCAGGUAUUUCUAUGUUCCAUGCAGCACAGAAGAGGGGGCCUCACUAUAGACACCAGGAAGAAUAGUGUUAAACCCAUAGCAAUCCAAACCUGGGAGAAGCUUGACAACUGAGAAUUGGUCUUGUCAAUCCUACCAGCGGGUCUUGUCCAGUUUUAAAAAAUGAAAUACAACAGAAUGCAACAGAAUGGGAAACAAUCAGAGCACAUUAAAAGAAUAAGUACUACUUUGGGAAACUUUUCAGUUGUGUAUGUGGGUAUCAGUGUGUACUUAGGGUUGAUGAGAAAUGUAUUUUUAAAAUGUGAGUCAAGUUAAAAGGCCUCAGAGAAUGAUGCUCUAAGAAAUUAUAUACUGGAGACAGUCACAAUUAUAUAUUAGAUGACGAAAAACUAAAUAAAAAUUAAAAAUUAGAAAUUUAUAAUUUGCCCCUGGAAUAAGCCACACGUGUAAGAAGCGAUUACUUGGAAACAUCACAGUGGUCUUGAAUCAAUGCUUUUUUCCCCUGCUGCUCAUGAGCUGUAGAAUCAAUGCUUAAACAUUUCCUUAACAACAAGUUGAAAACGAAACAAACCUGUUAUCUUUUCUGUCUUACCUCCCUGAGGUAUAUAUAAGUUUGACGAAUUUCUCUGCUCAGGUAAUAGGAUUUAGCAUCCAUUCAUGUAUUCAUUCACUCAACAAACAUUUACUGAGACUGUUGAAGGUGCUGAGACUAUAAUGGCAGAGAAAACAAAAAGAUAAAAAUCCCUGUCUUAGUGGAACUUUUGUGUGGGAGUCAUGGGGGACAUGUCAUAGGACAUCAGCAAGGGAAAUUGGUGAAAUAGAAAAUAUGUCAGAAAGUGGUAAGUGCUAAGGUGAAAAGAUAAAUAAUAGAAAAGAGUCCCAGGGAGUGUUUGGGCUGUAUUGGUUUUUUUUUUUUUUUUUUUUUUUUUUUUUUUUUUUUUUUUUUUUUUUGUGAGACGG